UUAAUCAACUUGGUUAGACAUUUUUUUUAAAAAGUUUUUUUUCGUUUCUUGUGUGCUUUUUUUGAAGAGGGAAAACGAAGAAACAAUGCCAAACAUUGAAUAAAAUAUGCGACUGUUUAUAUCGCAGGAAUGACAAUAAUUUUUGCUUUAAAUAGGUUCAUUUUUCAAAAAAAGAAAAAACAGGCAAACGACCUUAUACCUAAUUUAAAACAGUGACAAAAUUUUGUUGAAUUUAUUCACAUCAACUUCGGCCUGAAAACUCACUAUUCCUGUAGCCCUCAACUUAUUCUUGCUUAAUUUUUUCAACUGAAUAGGUAGGUAUAGUCAAUCGGUACAGAUAAAUUAAAUGCUGACUUCAAGAUAAUUAAUGUACCCAGGUGUCAACAAUUUUCAGGAUUGGGAAAGAAAAUUGGAUUUGUGAUUCUUACUCAAUAAAAAACUUGACUAAUGAAGUUGAACAUUUUUCAUUUUAGUAGAAAUUUUAGUAGAAAGAGACUUAAAACGAAACCAUCUGUACCCGCAUUACCUUAGGGCUUUAUUCGUUUCUUGCACAAUUUUCUGACCAUCGCAACCUUUCCUAUCAACAGAAAUGUGGACAUGAACCGAUCCAAUUUUAAACAAAAUAAGUACAUACCUAUGUACUAUGAUCAUCGAUGGGUAUUUUAUAGGUACCUACAUAUCUAUAUAUGAAAGAAUUUAAAAAAUCAUUUCAUUUUAUAAAUACCAGAUUCAUGAACGUAUAUGAAAUUAGUAAAAAUAAUUUUUCAAUAUUUUGGAUUUUCCAGGUUGAUAUUUGAUAUGAUAGGCACGAAAGAACAAAGAUAAGUACUUACCUCAACGAUUUGUAUGUGUACUUCAAUGUUAUGCAGUUUCAAGGAUUGCUCAUAAUUGAAAAAAAUGAUUGAAUUACCCUGGCAAAAAUCACGUGUUGAUCAACUCAUAAGAAACAAAAUAGGUACCUACAUAAGUAUGCAAUGCAUCACAUCACUUAAACGUUAUGCACAGUCCGAAGUGUUAUGAAAUAUCUUACUUACACCUCUGAGUAACGUCCGCUCUUGGUUAAUUACUUGUACUAAUCCCAACAACGUAUCUACUGCAUAUGCAUAGGUACUGCGUACAUAAAACAAACCCCCAAACAAAUUUGAAGAGGGAUCAUAAUUUCAAAAGAUGAUCUAGGAAUCUGUAUCGAACGAAACAGGUGUAAGGUAUCCAUGCAUUUGAAAUGUACGCGGAAGCACAAUUCGUGGGAAAACCUCAUCACGAAACUCUAUAAUAAAGAUUGAAACUUAAGCACGAAGGAAAUCUCGAAAGGUAAAAAAAACUAGUAUAUCAAGACAACGGAAUUUCGGACAACUCGUCAUCGAGUCGCGUAUUCAAAUUAAGGUACGCAGGUUUUUUAUACUCUAGUUUUAAUCUUUCGGUGAUAAUAAAAAGGGCAGUUCAACUAACAAUAGUACCAUACUGAAAGCGUUAGAACUCGUCGCUUAUUUUGUAGACCGUUCAUUAGGGGAAGAAGGGUCGUCGAAAAUAAAAGGUUAUAAUUAGUGACAGGUCUAAGUCUUUGUUUUUAUUCAGGUUUUGUUGGACACAAAAAAUUUAACCCUUUCUGUGAGCCUAUGCGUGUUUGAAUCAUGUAACAUUUUUACAAGCAGUUGUUACUGUGAUUUUAUACCGAUAACUUCUUAUAGUGGUGACAUGUUUUUAACAUCUAUAUCUAUUCGUGGAUUACCUACGUAAUCAAAUGGUCUUGAUAACAUUUUUCAUAAUUUUUCGAAAGUUUAAUGUAGGUAUUUGAAGUGUAAGGAAUUUCGGGUGCAACAGCAACUGACCAUUUUGAAUUAAUUUUUAAUGGCAUUUCUUUUAGAAAAUUUGUCUGACAAGGAAAUAGUUAAGUAACAGCUUAACUAUCACAUCCCCAAUAUUGUUUGGUAAUGUAAUACCUAAAUUUUUUGUUUCCCAGUGUCCUUCUACUUAUUUGUUCUGCAAAGAAGAAUAAAAACAAUCUUUGAGUUCCGAAUAAUUAGUUCAACACGAGGCUUGCCAUUUUAAGUCAAUGGCGUUUGGAAAAAAAUGAAGAAAAGACACUACACAUUAUAAAUCUGCAAAAGUCAUUUGAAAAUAUUUAAAUUUCUUAUUCAAGUGGGUGGAUAACUGACUUUAACUUGACAAAUUUUGACACUUUUAUCCAUUCUCAUAAAAUGACCAUAUCUACAUAUUUUAAUUAUUCAUUGAUUGCAGACCUUUGAAUGCUCACUACACUCUUGCCCCUUUGGAAUUUCGUUACCUAUACUGCAGAUUUUUUUCUUCAAAAAUUAUUGCAACGACAGAGCGAAGUUCAAAAUCAGACCAAAUGGUAAAGAAUGAAAAGUAAGUUCUCCCAUCCAAAUUUUUCAAAAUUGGAUUCUGUUCAGCUGUUCUUAAAGAAUAUCAUCAGGAGAAUCAUUUUUAAAAAUCAUCGCAGGUUGUAAAUUUUGAGCGAUUUUGUUCAUUUUAUGCGAAUCAGAAAAUGUCCGAAAUAAGCUCCAUUAGGUACCUACCCUGAUUUCAGGAUUUCAGAUCCCUUUCUUUUUUACAAAAAAAAAAAAAAAAAAAAAAAACAGGGAAAAUGGAAUGUAGUAAAAUUAUUUUUACUAAAAAACACUCUCCAGCAUUGAUAAAUAAGUCAGUGAUGUUGAAUUUGUUUCUUAUCAAUCAAAUAAAAUGUAUUUUACGUAAAUAUCAAAUCAUGGUCUAAAAUGUUUCAUGUAUUAGCAUUUAGCAUUUUAUUCAAUAGCAAACUGAGAGUCCAAAAUAAAGACGAAAAUCUCGAUUAUUAGGUAUUUAUUAGUUUUUUGAUUUUUUUUGGCAAAAGAGAGUAGGGCUAGUAAAACAACGGAAUAUUUUUUUCUCUCGUCGAGAGCCACUUUAUGAUAAUUUUGAGUCAUUUUCUUUGUCAACGAAAUGUUUGGCUAGGUUGAUUCUGUAGGUAACGUUUUUACCGAACUUUAAUACGUGACAUUUUAAAAAAUCGCGUAAAUGCAGUUGACAGUAUUUUAUUUUGUUGCAUAUGUUUUAAAACAAAGCAGCAUUUUUCAAGAUAUAGGCCAUAGCCGUAGGGUAAUAUUAUAAAAACUAUACAUUUAAAACCAAAAAAUACCAUAAUCGCUCCCUCCUCUCUCCAAAAAAAGGUACGUGAGUAUUAUAAGAAAAUUAUUAGAAAAUGAGAGAGGGAACUCCCAAAAUCUUAUGAAACGUUUUAAAAAUUGAUAAAUGUAAAACAAACUGAAAAAUAGUGUUUCCUUCAUUUGCAAAAAUGAAAUGAAAAUCACGUGAUUAGUGCCUAUUUUUUAAAAUAAUGUUAGUCUGAGGCUGAUCAUGAAUUUGAUUUCAAUUUUUAAUUUUUUUCUUUUUUUUUGUGCUUUAGAAACACAAACAUUUUAAAAAUACCUGACUUGACUAACAUAGACAUCUGCUAAAAUGUUUGCGAUUACAUUUUGUUGUUGUAUCAAAGUGUUUUUAAAAAAUGGUCUUUGCAGUUUUGUUUUUUUUAAAUAUUUUUUUAAUACCUGAUGUUUAAUUUUUCUGAAUUGAAAAUAAUAUCAUAAGAUGCUCUUACACUGAACGAAAGAAAACGGCUUUCCUUGUAUGUAAGACUUUCACCCAAACGCCGAGCUGCCGAGGAAAUCUCGGUGACCCGCAAUUAUGGACCAAUUUAUCGGAAAUGGCUUGUGUUUUGUGAGCUUUGAUGUUCAGAGUUUUUUUGUCGCAACUCAAUUUCAGCUGAAAUUGACCCUUUGAAGUGCAAAAUAUCGAUGGACUGACUAAAUUUAGACACUAUUGGAUCCGAUACAGGCCAAGUGUGCGCAAUGUGGCCAUUAAAAUGGCUAAUGUAGACGAAAAAUAUUUUAAACUUUUCAAAAAUCAAACCAAAUAUGUAGUACGUAGUAUAGGUACCUUGUUCUUCCUACAGAACAUCAUAGCCUAUAAAGGAUCAUCUAUAAGAAAUCCCUUGGCCUGAUUUAUGUACCUAUACUCGCAUUCCUACAAAAUUAAAUAUGUAGAUUUAAUUAAUUAAUAUUACCUACCAAUAAAUGAGUAUUGAUUACCUACCUAUACCUAAACUAAGUUAAAUAAAUAAUAAUGUUUCUUGAAUUUAAAAUUUUGUUUCACGCAUAUCCUCGAUUCAACAUUUCAAAACACCUUCCUAAUAGUUUGUGAUAGGUAUUCUCAUUUCGACGCAGUCUUGUUUUUCCUGAUCUCGUCCUUUUCUUCCGAAUGACUUGCAGCUCAAAAGUAUAUCCUUGUUCAAAAUGUGGGCACUGUUUUAAUCAUCAGAGAAUUCGUGGCAUUUUUCGAUUCUUUAUUGGAAAUUCGUGAUCAAUGACGCGUUAACCCUGUCUCAGAUGGCGAUAGUUUAUUUUUGACAAAUCGGCAGAUAUUGAAAUUUUUUUCGAAUUUCAACAAGUCAUAACUCAUAAUUAAGCGGCGAGAUGUUAUUAUUAAUCUUAGCUUACUCAGAGGGGUACCAUUACCAAUUAUCUAAUUCUGUUGCAAUAGGUACCUAUCAAAGGCUUGAAAUAAGUAUCAUUUUACUCGUACUUGAUUCAUUGUUUAGUUUCAGAUAAUUAGGCCGUGAAAUUCGAGCAUGUGGCUACCUCUUCACUUAUCAAUCUAUCUAUAAUAUAUUUAUGAAUUAGAUAUCGUACUGAGCAAGAUGUCAAAUGAAACUUCUGAAAGUUUUUUGGCUACAAUUUCAUUAAAUUUGAUACAAAUUUCUAGGUGCCUAUAUAAAAAUAUCGUUGUUUUGGCUUAAAAUUUUGUUGAAUUUAUUUUUAAAUCAAACUUUGGUAGGUAGGUAGGUAGGUAGGUGGGAAGGUAAGUUAGUACGUACCAGAGAAGGUACAUACGAGUAAAAGAAAAAAACAGUACCGAAACUGUAAAAUGAUAAUAAAAUAAUCAUCGGUGAAAUUAGAAAAUAAAAACCGCCAUAUUUAAAACGUGAAAAAAACAGGGAUUGACUGAGUUGAGUCAGCAAAGGUUCCCUUGAUAAAGUCAAUUGGGCGUGCCUCUCCCCCGAAUAUAACAAUAUUAUUGGGGGAGAAAUCUAUUCCUUGGUAAAAACGCAGGAAAUGGCACACGUAUAUAACUUCAGAGUGCACUCAAGCGUGCUUUUUAUUAUUUCGUUUUUUCGUUUGAAACGGCACAGCAAUGGCUACCCCAAAGAAAUACUUCCCUUACUUUUUUUCGACAGUAAGAAAAAAAACAAGGAAGGGUGCUUCAUUAAAAUGUUAACACCGAUAUGGACUAAUGAAUGCGAGGGUUACAAUGUUUGAAGAAAAUUAAUAAAAUCUUUUAGCCACAAAUUAUGGUUGUAUUUUCCGCUUUGCAAUAAUUAAUUAAGUCGUAAGAAUAUUUACUGCCCAUAAAAUGAACUUAAUUAGCACACUUUUAUCUACUGUCGUAUAUUAGGAAAGCUUCGCUUCAUUUUGUCUCUCGACAACGUCAUAUUGCGCUAUUCGGUCUUCGGUCCAUAAGUAUUUUUGUGAGUACGAAUUUAUUUCAAAAUUAUGACAAAUUUUGAAAUAAUUAUCCACUUGUAUGUAGUACCUAUAUUUAUCAAAAUUUCGAAUUUUUUCAACGAAGAUUUAUAGAUUGAAAAAUUGUGUUGUCUUUUCAUUUUAUAAUUUAAGAUAGGUAUAAGUAAAUAAAGCUUUUAGGAUAGGUACGUUUACGAGUAUUCAACCGAUUCGUCUUCUCUAAUGUUUAGUUACCUACUGAGUUUUCCCCCUAAUGUUUGUUUUUAUUCAAGUCUCUGGAAUUUUUUACUUUUAGAACUGCCGUAGGUAUUAUUAUCAUGAUGUAAAACCUAUGAUUAUCUAUCAUAGCAUUAAAAAUUGCUCAGCGUAAGGUUUUUCAUGUUCGAAGGAAAAAAGGUAAACAAAAAUCGAGUGAGUAUGCCUAGCGUGGCAUUUCCAAGUUCAAAUAAUGGUAUAAGGUUACGUAUUUUUUCAAUAGAUCGUCUUGAAAACUACCUACCUAUCGCAUGAAUUCAUAUCCUUAAAAUGUAGUACCUAAGCACUUUUUUUAAAAUCUGGAUUCGUGUAAGUAUAUAAAAGCGAACGUUAGAAACCACGACCCUCAUCAUUUUGACGAUGAUAUUCGGGUCUCUAGCCAAAUUCACAACGCAUCACUGUAUAUUUUUCCUAAAUUUUAAAGAUCCCUUUCAAAAACAGUUCGAUUUACUCGCAAUAAAAAGUGGAUUCCACAGAAAGAUCGUUAUAUCAUGUAAUUGACUUUUAACAAACUUGAUCUUCAAAUUUCAAUCAUUAUUUAAAGACUUCAUCAUAGCACUGUUAUCGCAACAACAAUAAUUUGUAACUUAUUCAUAGUUGGUAAAAACCUCCUGCCCAUCAAAUAAGUGAAUAGAAAUACAAGUACACAGAUGUUCUUCUCGUAUAUCCAAUCUGACAAAUCAUAAUUAUAAUUAAUUAAUGUAUACGUA